ensembl:lncRNA
CCGCCCGCCGCCCCCCGCCCGGGCCGCUCAGACGCGAUUGUGAUGGAAAUCGCCUUCCCGCAUGCUGUUGAACUUGAUGUUGACUCCUUUUCUUUGGGGCUCCACGUCUCCCCGGCCACUUGUUUGUGGGAAAAUUUUCUCCCGGGCUCCAGUGUGAAAUUAAUUAAUCAGGGCCUCGAGAUGGCAAUGGGACACAAAAGGGGACAGCCGGGGGAAACUCCGGCAAACUCACAAAAGCCACCCGGGGUUUAUAGCCCCGGGCUGCCCGGACGGCGCUGCCCUGCCCGCCGCCCGAGGUGAGAUCGUCUGCAGCGCGGGACCCGCCCGCCCGCACAGGAGCCGGCCCCAUUAUGGUCCCCGCUGCAUUAAACCCUCCCCACGGCCCCACGACGGCUGCGGCUCCGCGGUCCCCCCAGCACCUGACCGGCAAGGUCAAGAGGAGCCCGAGCCGCCGUCGCCGCUGGAUCUGGCCGGCAGCUGCUGCGCGGCCGUGCGGGGGCAGCUCGCAGGAAUGCGUCCUGCAGAUGGGACCUGGCGGGGCACGUGCAGCGUCCCCGUGCUGGCUGCGUUCUGCCCUCUCUGCUGUGUCCCUUCCCGUUCUGUGCAUCCAUCCCGAGGCUGCAGGUUGAGUGCGUCCCCCGUCCCUUCUCGUUCCCCGUCCCUAGGAUGCAGCGUGGGUGCGUCUCAGGCUGCUCUGCAGCUCUCACGGGGAGAAAGGGAUGCUGACUCCCAGCUUUCCCCUGCAGGGUUGGUUGCAGCCCCUGUCCUCCCUCGCCCCGCGGUGCCCGGCAUCCUCACAGAGAUGGGCAUGGAAUAAAUCAGCCCUUGUUUAUUCUCGUGUCUGGGCUUGGUGUGUGAGUUCAUAUUAAAACAUUCUGCCUUAAAUUACAGCCUAAUAAAUCAAUACCCACUUAGCGAUGCAAGCGAGUGGGAGCGGUUUGUGCAAAGAAUUCAAGUUGCUCUGCAGCUCUCAGGCACAGCGAAGGGCGAGGGAACGAGUGCUGCCCGGGCAGCUGGGCCCUGCUUCCAUCCCUGCCCAGGAGAUGUGUGUGCACGGCAGGGAUGUGCACGGGCAUGGCCAGGAUAUGAGUGCACGGCUGUGCAUGGCCAGGGCAUGCAUCUGUGUGGUUGAGCAUGACUAGGACAUACGUGUGCAUGGCAGGGAUGGGCAUGUGCACGGCUGUGCAUGGCAGAGACGAGCAGAUGCAUGGCUGUGUGUAGCAGGGACACUCAGGGUCACUGUGUGCCUUCAGCUGCCCAUGCACAGGCAUGGUGCGGCCUCACAGCAACUCCCAGCCCCACCAGCUCCUCUCUGCUGUUAAUUUCUGCCCCAGACAGGACAAUGUGGUUCCUCCAUCCAGCUCACAACCUCCUCUGCUGCGCCGUUCCUUCCCUGCUCAGAGUGCUCGGUGAUGCCCUGCACCCAGCAGCAGCUUUCCUUGCACAUCCUCCUCCCCCGCAUCUCACCUUUCCCUUCUGUAAUCCCCUUGUAUUUGCCUGGGCCUCCAUCCAGGGCCAACCACCCCUUUAUAGGGCCACUUCUAAGCAAAUGCUCCCUUUGCUUUGCUAAACAGGGACUCCUCCUUCAUGCAGCCAGGGUUACCGGGACCAGCCCUGUGCCUUUCUCGAGGCUGCGCAUUGCCUCCUGGCACCCUCCAUCCUCCUCCUCUCCUGGGAUGGAUGGGGAAGGACACAUGUGCAGUCCUUUCUGCCGCCGUUGCUGCCCACUCCCACCAGAGCCGCCUGUGGCAAUGCCCAAGGACCCAUCCCCAUCUUCCCCCUUUGCAUCCGAGCCAGUUUCAUCCCUCCCCCCUCAUCUUCCUUGCCAAGCCCUGACACUUGAUGGCAGCCCCAUUCAAAAUGCAUGGACUCCCCUUUCCAAGCGCCCCGGUCCUUUUGAACUAAAAGGAUUUUCUCAGAGGCUAAGUUCAAAUGUAUGGCCGUUAUUUAUUUAUCACCCCGCGAUGUAUUAUUCAUUUAUUUAAAAAUGUAUGGCAGCUGGGAGCCCCGUGUUUAAUCACCCCAUGGAUGGCGAGGGCCAGGUGGAGACGGCCCCUCGCUCCGCCGCUAACCUGGCGCGGUCGCUGCCGCCGGGACUCCGACCUCACGCCUGAUUUAGCAUCAAGGAGGCCAAAAAUAACCCCAACCCCAUGGCAGCGAGAGCGCAGUGGCCUCAUGGGGUGGGCAUGGAGAUGGGGUUGGUGCUUUUGGGGGUGCCAAGAGGAUGUGGCACAUGGUGGGGGAAUGGGGUUGCUGCAGCGCUGCUGCUGCUUGUGGAUGGGGAUGAGGAUGGGGAUGAGAUGGGGAUGGGGAUGUGUUCCACACACGGCCUGGCCCCACGGCUGGCCCCAGCUGUCAGAUUGCAUCCCAGCCCCUCGGCGAAGUCACCAACAUGGUGCUGAUGUGUGCCGAGGCGGGCAGGGCAUGGCGCUGCAUGGCGCUGCGCUGCCAGUGGGAACAGCAGGGAGAAAAAGGGAGAAAAGCACCAUGACACAGCAGGGAUGUGCCCAGCCCUCCCAGCUUCUCCUUGUCCCCACAGGGCUGAAGGACCGCAUCCCCUCGGGAGGAGCACGAAGGGUUAAGGAUGCUCGGUCUCUCCAAACUCCCCACGUCCCCCCCACGCGCUCCCACCACCCUCUUCCUCGCUGGCCACUCACUAAUUGAGACAGCUUCAGCCCUUGCCUCCCUCCUCUCCCCCUGGGGCUGAGCUGCCUCUUCCCAGGGGGAGCACAUUGUCUGCUCCAGCCUGGUUGAUGUAAUCCCUAAGCCCGAACAAUACUUCCCCACCCCGCUCCUGCUGAAAGGGUAUUAGUUGCCCAAUGAGAUAAUUACUCCCCAGGCCACCAUAAUCAUCACGCCCGGCCAGCCGCUUUCCCCGGUCCCAUGGUGCCCAUUCUGUGGGUUCAGGGUGCUCCAUGGCACCGUCGAGACCCCAAAUACCCGCUGAUGCGACAGCAGAAUAGAGCAGGGAAGAGGGAUGUGCUGCUGAGGUGCUGCAUUCAGCUCAUUGAGGGCAGCCCCAUUGCUGCUAUCACCCCAAAAUGUCACCCAUGGGUGGGGGUUGGGGUGCCGGUGGGCACGGGAUGGGGAUCUCUGGACAUGCUGGGACACCGGGGCUGUGCCAGCAGUGCCACUGCGCUCAGCUCCUGAUGGAGCACGGGUGGGGUGAGCCCAUUCCUGGGAUUCAGGAUUUCCCAAUGUCAUAUCCCUGGUUUGGUCCCCUCUGAUGAAUAUUCAGGCAAAAAUCUGGGCGGGGGUGGGGGGGUGGGUGGGAGGGGGAGGCAAAACUCCGCUUUUUUAUUCAAUACUGAUGUUUGUGCCAUGUAUUCUUUUGAAAAACAGAAUUUCAGCAAUUACUGAAACUGUCCCAGCGGAUGGGAUCGAUGAGAACAGUUUCCUGAAUUGGUUGGGCAGGAAAUAAUUCGCUUUCUCAGCUCCCGCGUGCAGCCCAAGGAGUGGUGCCGGGGCUGCCUUCACUCCGAGGUGCCGCACGUGGGGACAUCGGCACGAAAACGGGGUAAAACGGACCCGAUUGGGGAUGCCCCAAUGGGAGCCAAGAUAACCCUCUGCUUCGUGGCUGUGAUGAUGGGGGGCUGGGCUCCCAUCCGGCAGCGUUGGCGCGGAGUGAUGCAGUGGGGGCAGCCAUCCCAUGGAGGUUGGGCUGAGCCCAUCCUGAGGAACGGCGUCGGGGCACCUGGGGGUGCGGGGGAGAUGCGAACCCUCUCUGCGGCUCCGUUUGAAGGCUGCUGGUUGGGGUUGGAGGAUGCUGUCCGUGCUUUGCAAGGUGGGAAAAGGUGCGCGCAGUGCGUCGUGUCAACGUCCCGGUGGGGACCCCUCCCCGGCGCUGAUGGGACGGCGGCUGCGGGCGCCGGGCUGCACAAGGCCAAUGCUGCGGGGAGCAGCGAGGGACGCUGCCGGCCGCUCCUCCCCGUCCCUUUCUUGGCCGAUCUCUUCUGACAGACAAACACAGUUUCUUUCUCCGAAACAAAGUCCUUGUCCAGCCGAGCACACAAAGCGGAUCCAUUAUCCGAUGGGGGACAGAAAGGAGGGGCUGUGGGGGGGGGGGGGCUGCCGGCGCACAAUGCACACAAGUGGCGCGCGGGGCCGCCCCUAUUGUGUCUGGGCAGGAAGGGCCGGGACCCACGGCGCGGCCCCGUGAAUGGCAGCAUUGUGUCUGAGCCUUCGUCGCCUUGGGCGUCCCCGGCCCCCUGUCCCCCCCCCCCCCCCGGGCUCUUGCCGCCUGUCUGGGGCAGAGCCUGACCCGCUCCUCUGGGUGGGGAAAGCCGCCGUUCUUCUCUGUUUUUGGGGUCGUAGAAUCCCGUUGGGCGCUACAGGGGAUGGGGGAAAUGGGGGUUGGCCAAAGGAGCCUUGGAAGGGCUGGAUGGCGUGGAGCAAAGGAAACGGCCCAAAAGGUGUCAUCCGUGGGUGUGGCGGGGACGGAGAGGGUUGAAGUCCUCGCAUUCACUCCCAGUCCAGAGAAGGGAUUUUGGAGGCAUAAAUGUACUGAUUUGGUCAGGACGAGGCGUCCCAUCACCGGCACAUCCAAAGGGAAAGGUUUGUCUCAGUCCAGAAGUGAUCGGGGCGGUGAUGGAACCCACUGAUGCUCCCACAACCUGUGGUGCAGAGGCCAAAUGGAAACUGGUCCCCAAGCAAUGGGCUGCAUCCCAUCUCUGCUCUGCCACCAUAUCCUAGGAGGAACAUUUUGGUAGGCAAAGGAUGAUGGAAUGAUAGAAUGGUUUGGAUCGGAAAGGACCUCAAAGACGGCUCAUGGCUGUGUGGGAUGGCUUUGUGCUGGCUGCGUGCUGGAGAUGGCCAUGGUGCCCCAUAUCCCACCCUCAGUGACAGCCCUGGCUAGGAGCAGCAGGGACCUGGGGACCCCAGGCUGCCAGCAUGGCGCAAGCAGCAAUCUGUCCCCUCUGUCCAACCUCACAGUUUCUUUCCUUGUGCAGUAACUUGAAGGAAAAUGGUGCUUCCAGCUCCUGCAGCGAUGCAGGCAGCCAGGCAGCACCUUAUGCAUUGCUCAUCUUGUUGUUCUGUUUGCAGAGGAGAAAUCCCCUCAUCGCUCCCAUCAGCCCCAUCCAACAGCAGCCACCGCAGGCAACAGGGACAGGGGAGCAGCGGGGACAGCGAGGGGACGACCCCAUGGCAGCACCCUCAGAAUCCAUGGGGAGAUGUGCCCUGCAAGGACCUGGUGCUGUGGGUUCGCGGCCACAAUUCUGGGCAUGGCUCCAGGGGAUGGGAAUUGCAGCUGCACCCCUGCGUGACUCAAUCACGGGACAGCACCCAUACUCCACCAGGGAUGCUCCAGAGCCUCCUGGAUGCGGUAAGUUUGGGUUUCCUUCUUUAUUUCUUGCAUCUUCCUUUUUACUUAAAAAUCCUCUUUGAAAAUCACACCAGAAGGCUGUGGCAACAGCUUCUGGUUAACGUUUUUUCCCCCUAUUUCCUUUUUAAUGUACAUCUUAAAUCUUCUCUAUAUUACUCAAAACAUCAUUUUCUGUGACCAAACAGCAUAACAAGGACUCUCCCCCCAUCCCCUCCUGCUUUCCCCCAGCCGGGAUUGCAUCGUCCCCCAUUGCCCCCCAUUCUGCUCCAUCCCACCCCCCUGUGCCCAUUUUCCUGCUGGCCAGACAUUGGAUUCAGCGGCGUGAGCACCUCCCAUCUCCUCUGGGUGCUUGUUUUGGGGUAUCAUUUAAAUCCAUGCAGGGGAUGGGACUGGGGAUGGGGAUGGGGAUAGGGAUAGGGAUGAGGAUGAAGACGGAGAUGGAGAGGAGUGCAACCACUGAGCAUCCCUGUGAGUCAGUCAAGGGAAAAGCCUGCAGCCCCUGCAGCUCAGUGCUUUGCACGUGACAGCAGAGCUGUCCGUGGCAGCAGGAAAACAACUCGCACCUUCCCCAGGGCUGCAUGGCACGGGCACUGCGGGUCACCCACACUCCCGGAGGGGUUUCUUCUCCCUCAUCUCCAUCGCAGGGAUUUGGGUGUUCCCUUCUGUUCACUCCCAGCUGCACACUGUGGGAGUGAGCAGUGUUAUCCCCUCGUUUUCCCUCUCCAAAAGCUGCAUUUGGGGCGACGGUCCCAGAGAGAUGUGCACAGGGCAGCAAAACCCACAUCUGCCGGCACCAUCCCACGAGGACCCCAUGCACGCUGCCCACCUCAUCACGCCAUCGCAGCUCUGCCCCCUCCCAUCCCUUUUUCCUCCAUCCCUUUAUUCCAGCGGCCCUUCUCCCCAUCCCGCUGUCAGUGAUGGGGUGGGGGCGGCCGGGGCCCCUCGGUGCCGUCCCCGUGCCCGGCGGUGCCCCCAGCAGCUGCUCGGCGCCGCGGGUGAACCGCCCUCCGCCUCGCUCUAAGAUGGCCGGCGGCCCCAAAAUGGUGCUGAGCAUGAGACGCCAUCUGCAAGGCUGGUCCCACGCCCGCCGUGGCCUUUUUAUGCAAAGGGGAAUUAAUUAGAUUUGAAUAUGGUAAUUAAGCCAUCAAGCCCGCCGGUGCUACGAGGUCCCUUCUUUUCUUCGGGCUUUCUUCUCGCCCCUCUCUCCCGCCGCCCCUUAACCCUUCCCCCUCCUUGGUGCACCCACAGCACCGCUCGUGCAUCCUAAUGAAACGCCGCCGCCGGGAUGUGCCCUCACCACCCCAUUCCCAGGGCUCUGUCUGUCCUCGGGGCUCCAUCCGUCCGUCCAUCCCUAUGGGUUGAGCGCAACGGCUGCGCAUCCCUCCCCAAAAAUCCCCGUGCUCGCAUAGGGAUGGCCGCCCAAAAGCGGGCGAUGCGGCGCUUUGGGGUUUCAGUGGGUGAUGGGUGCGGUGGGAAACUGUUCCCAAAUCCAUUCCCCCAAUGCUGGGCUGUGUUUUAAGCCCUUCGGAUCCUUAAGGUGCUCUCGAGUGGUUUUUCUUCUCCGCGCAUUGUCUCUGGCCGUGGGGUGCUGCUGGUACCCAACUGCUGUGCACCGGGAUUUCCACCCCAUAUUUUGUGCUUUGAAGGAAAAAUAGUAUUAAAUGGAAUGUGCCCCUGACGUCUGCAUCCAGGAAAUCAUCCUUAUGUUUUAAACUGGGAAUUAAAGGUUUUCCCAUCCCUGUGUUCUUUGCUUGCAGCCCUGCAUACAGCUUUCCCCGAGCCGGGAGAUGGGAACGCAGCAGACAGGGAUCUGAGCAGGGAAAAAAAUCCCAGGGAUAUUUUUCUGCAGAUAUUCAUCUCCAUCAGGAAAAAAAAAAAUGUAUAUAUAUCUUUUUUCUUCUCCUUUUCUUGCUCAGGAAGGAAAAAGAAAGAAAUGGGGAAAAAGAAAAGACGCCUCCGGGCGCUUUGUGAAUGGGAAGACUUGGAUGGAGAGCUCUUAAAAAUAGGGGUCUUUGGAGUGGGGCCAUUUUUGGUGAAACUUUUAAUUGUGUUGGCAAGCUGCUUCCCAUCUGAAACAAGGACAAACCCGAGAUUGCACACGUAUAUAUGCGUUACGUGUACAGAUAUGGGGUGCCAUCCUGCACACAUGCAUUCUGUCUGUAUAUACGUGCAGUGCACAGUGUGAGCCCCCUGCCCAGGCUGCUCGGGUUGGAGCCCUUCUGCUGCUCCUGAGGACUCCGUUUACGCAGAGCAGAAGGGCCACAGUGCAGAGAUGGGGCAGAACUCAUCUAUUUGAGGCUAUGCUUCGACUUUUCAGCUCUUCGCCCUCGGGAGCAGCUCGGUGGCGGCAGCACCACACCGCCCUCCCCUCUCUGGGAGCAUCCAGGGGUUUAAUCCAAGCUGGCACCGCUGCCCGCGGGAGGGGCGGCCCCGGGCUGGAGCCCCCGCGCCCCCCGGCCCUGACCUACAUAGCGGGAUGCGGCCACCUGAGCGGCCCCGAGCCACCCGCGCCAGCUGCUGCGUGCAGGGACAGCAGCCCGGCCUCCAUAUCUCCUCAGGGCUCAGUUUGGGAGAAAUAAGGGAGAAAGGGGUUUUCUUGCUGCCGGCCCCAGGGAGGUGCUCAGGGUGCCGUUGGGUUCUGGGUUGCAGGCUCUGCCCCAUCCUAACCCCACGCCAAUGGGAUGGUGCCAGUGUCUUUCUUGCUGGUGGCAUCUCCUGGGCUGCAUUUCACACCUCUGUGAAUGGGGACACGAGCCUCAGGGUGCUCAUCCCUGCUGUCACCGCUCUGCAGAGCCCUCCUACAGAGCAGAGAGAGGGAAAACAAGUGGGGAAUGAGGGAAGGGGAUAGAAAAGGGAAAGCUGACAAACAGGAGAGGAAAGGCAGCGAUGGAGAUAACCGCGGGACAGAUAAUGCCAAGCACAGAGGGGAAAUAUCGUAGGAGGGCCGAUGGCUGGGAGACAGAUUGAGGAGAGGUGGGAGAGGGGGAGCGGGGACAGAGUGCAGCGGGGCCUGGGGGUGGCAGUGGUGGCAGUGGGGUCCCCGCUGCGCUGGGAUGACCCGAAGUUGAGCAGCAUCUCCGUGGCCCCACUGCCGACCCCCACUGCUCCCAGCGGAGCCGCUGGCGGACGGGACGGGCAUUGAAGGGCUGCGGGGCUGCGCCUCCCGCACCGCACGAAGCCCUUCCUGCAGAGGAUCCUCUCCCCAUCCCGCCCUCCCCGCCUUCCCUCCAUGCCACGUGGAUUCCCCGCGGCACACGAAAACAAGCGAAGACGUUUUCUUUUGUCUCCGCUGCUGCUCGGCCGCGUGUCUGCGGCUCUACGCCACCUUGGCCUCCUCCCCUCCAUUCACAAUUUCCUUCUCAUUCCCGUGGUGAGAGAAUAGAGGCAAACCUUUCUUUUCUUCCUUCCUUCCCUUCUUUUUCUUUCUGUCCUUCUUCUUUCUGUCUCUCUCUUUCUCUUCUGUUCCUUUCUCCCUUCCUUCCUUCCUCCCUUCCUCCUCUCUCUCCAUUCCUUCCUUUCUUCCUUCUCUCUUUCUCUCUUUCUUUAUUUUUUUUUAACUUAAAGCAAUUGCAACUUAAAUAAAAUCAGCAUCCAGGAGGUGUGAAGAGACAGAAGGUGACGCGGAGCUGCCCCAGUGCCGGCUCUGGCCGUGGGUUUGGCCGUGGCUGAGGAUCCCCAGGCACAGCGCCCACCUGGGCUCAGUGCUCCUCAUUAUCCCUCCGAGCUCCCGUACCCAUUUAUGCUACUUCUGUGCAAAAAGAAAUCAGUGAUGGAUGUGCCGGGAAGGGCUCAGCACCGGGGGGAGAGAGGGGAAGAAGGGGGGAGGUUGGAGAGAGCUUAAAAAUUACAGUGGGAAUUAGCAGGAGUCUAAGCUGUUGUUUGCGCUGCCCAUUAGCAUCUGCCUAUUUAUCUGUCACCAGAUCCUCGUGGCAUCCAUCCAUCCAUCUGGGUCCUUGUCAGUCUGUCUGCCUACCUAAUUAUCCAUUAGCAUGGCAAAGCCCCAUGACAGCGGUCCUGGCGAGUCAGACACGAGACCACCUCAUCUGCCCUCCGCCGUCGCCCGGCUCCGUUUAUGAGCAUGACACUGCCAAAAUUGGGCUCAGAACGGCCCCAGCAGUGCUGCUUGGGGAGAUGCAGAGCAGGGUUGGUCCGUGGGGUGUUACUGUGUGCGACGUGUGCUCACACACCAACGUGCUGUGUGUGUGUGUGUGUGUGACACACCGCGUGCUUUCGCUGCUGAUCAGUGCUCCAUCUUGGUUAGAUGAGAGGAAAUCAGAGCCAGUGUGCUGCUGUGGCUGCGAUGGGCACGGCGUUGGUGCAGUGGGUGCUGUGAUGGGCACUGUGUUGGUUCCAUGGGCACUGUGUUGGUUCCAUGGGCACUGUGUUGGUUCCAUGGGCACUGUGUUGGUGCAGCGGUCACUGUGAUGCGCAAUGCAAUAUGUUGGUGCAGUGGGCACUGCGUUGGUGCAAUGGACAAUGUGUUGGUGUAAUGGUCACUGUAUUGGUGCAGUGGAUGCUGUGUUGGUUCAACAGUCACUGCGUUGUUGCAAUGGGCGCUGUGCUGGUUCCGUGGGCACUGUAGUGGCGCAGUGGGCACUGUAGUGGUGCAAUGGGCACUGUAGUGGUGCAGUGGGCACUGCGGUGGUGCAGUGGUCACCGUAGUGGUGCAAUGGGCACUGGCAGUACCUCACCGUGCGUCCAGCAGCCCCGGUGCCGUUGGCUCUUUGUGCCCGUGCCGCCGCGUGGGUUUCUUUGUUCAGGCAGCAGCGGUGGGCAGGUUCCCCCUCCCCGCCUGCCCACGGCCCCGCUCAGCCCGAGGAGCAAAUCAGCGGCGUUUGCAUAUUCAGAGCAGGUGGGGGCCCAUAUGCCUAAGAUGCACCAGACAAAAUUAGCCACCAUAAUCAUAAUCAACUGUGCCGUUGUGCUGGGGGAAGGGAGAGGCUGGCAGACAAGCCUGAUAAUUAUGAAGCUCAGCAUGUGCGCAGCGGUUUUGCAACAAUUAUGCCUAGCUCAGCAAGCCGGCAAUGAUGCUUGUUACAACAACCCUCAAUCUCCAGCCCGCCCUCCGGUCGUGCGCUCCCGGGAGGGCUGCGCUGCACCGGAGGUGCCGCCCGUGAUGGGGAAGGGGACACGAGGAUGGGGAUGGGAACACGAGGACAGCGUGGGGUGGUGGCUGGACCCCAUCCUGCUGCCCUGCCCGCCUGGCCAAGCCGUGGCAUUUGGAGGAACCAUCCUGCCCAGCAGCUCGCUGCUUGGAGAGCAUUGCAACCCCUCUGCAUAAAGGAGCUCUGGAGCUCCACUUGCACCAAAGGGGUUUAUUUUUGCCUCCCAGGACUUCUUCCCUUUCCCACCCUCCUCCUCUCGCUCUCUGCAGCUCGGCGGUGGCAGGAGGUGACACUCCAGAUCCAUCCCCAGCCCGGUGCUGGCGGGGCGGUGUCACGCAGCAUUUCCCUGAACGAGCCCUGGGGAAGGGAACGGCACGAGAUGCUCCAUGGCGCAGUGAGGAGCAGCCCCUGCUCUGUGUCCUUGGGAAGCAGCGGUGGCAGGAUGCAGCCAGCAGAGGAGAGGGGAAAUAAAGUGGUUUUCUCUUUUAAAUACACUGGGAGCUGCCCCAGCUCAGGCCAGCUGGACUCAGGGGUGGUGCUGGGCUGCAUCCUGCUUGCGCUUCCCUGGGUGCAGUGGGGAUGGAGGCACCGACGCUGCAGCCAUUCCCUAUGGGUGAGGUUGUCUUCCUCGCAGAGGGCACAGUACUCUCUUGAAAUGGUGUUGUUGCCAGCUGCAAUCUGGGCUUUUCAACCUGAAUUUGGGGUUUGCAGCACAACCCAUCGCCUCACACAGCUGCAGCAAUGUGGGGUUGGCCGGACAGGAGCUCAGCAUGUGUGGAAACCACGGCUGUGCUCUCCCCAGCAUCUCUCCUCCUCCACUCACCUCCUGCAUGAGAGGGAGGAUCCUUCCCCAGGUGCGGUUAUGGGGAUCAUGCAGCCCAACAGGAGAGAUUUGUCCAUGCACCCUCAGCAUCCCAGGAGCAUUUCUGCCCAUUACCUCCCAGUUUGUUGGACAGAAAGAUGCUUCAAACCAGCACAGAAGCGCCCUCAGCACAGGAGAUGGCUCCGCUCUGCACUGGCAAUCAGAUGGGCUCUGCUUUGCUCCAGAUGAGAUGGCAGCAGAGCUGCAAGAGGGACCGUUUGGUUCAUUUAUCCCAUGGAUGGCACAGAGUUGGUCCCAGGGCACUUCUCAAAAUCCCACACGUCCACCCUGUGGGCAUUCCCGACAUCCCUGCAGCCCCAGGAGCACACAGAGGUUUGCACAGACGUGCCGAGGUCCGACUGCAUCUCCCCAUCCUUUGGGACAGGCUGCACUUUGCUGAUGUAAAAGGAUUUCGAGGCAGAUGUUCCGAUGUCUGCUGCCAUUGGGGCAGGCAUGGCGCAGGGUUUGGGGAUCAAAUGGGACAACGCAAAGGGCACAGACACACGGUGGCUGCACUUUGUGCACAGCGUCAGCUGUGUGUUGUCCCCAGGAUGGAGGAGGAUUUGGGGCACCCGGGUGGCACCCGGACUGCUCUGCCCCUCCGCUUUGGCUUUCAUGGAUGGAGGAAUUAUUGGAGGAAAGUGCAGCAAAAUAACUCAGAAAUGUGUAUUUUUUUUCUGCCUUCCCCACUCCCAAAGCUGCUGCUGGGAGCAGAGUGGCUCUGCAAGACCUGGGGGAAGCAAAGCAUUCCCCCACCUGUUUGCUUUUUCUUUUAAGCAACAGCUGAAGAGCAGCAACUUGCCGGACUAUAAAUUCCCGAAUUCCCCUGAUCCUGAGCACAGCUUUUAUUCAGAUGCAGGCAGCAGAGUGGGGGAGAAGGUGACCACCGGCUCCAUAAAUAUUAUAUGGGGCGACGGCGCUGCGCGGGGCCGUGGGCGCAGACAAAGCGCGCAUUGAGCCGCUGGCCCAGCUGCUGCGGGCGGCCGGGAUGGGGGUCAAGGUCAGAGGUGGCCCUGUGCACAUUAUCCCCCCCCAGCCCCUUUCCCCGUGUCCAUAACAUAAAGUGGAGCGGCUGCUGCCGGCUGUCCCAGCGGGGCCGUGCAGGAGGGGAAACUGAGGCACCGCGCAACGACGCACCGGUGCUUUAAUCUCCCGGGGACCCUUUGGGUGGCCCUGUUUAAGCCUCCCUUCGCUGCGGGUUUCUCCAUGGGGGGGACCACGGAGGGCUUUGGGGUGCUCCAAGCGCAGCCGAACCCAUCCAGGUUCACUCCUGCCGCUGUGCAAACUUGGAUUUUAGAAUAUUUGCCUCCCUUUCAGGCAAUCUCUUAGCAACGCCUGUUUCCAUGGCAAAGAGUGGAGAACCUCGGCGCUGAUGCUGAGCUUUGCUUCAAACUCCCGUUCUGAUCGUGCUCCAGGUCCCUGCACAGGGACGGAGCCGGGACCGUCGGCAGUGCCUGUCCUGCACUGGGCACACGGAGCCCUGAGCACCGGCAGCUCCUGCAGGAAGGGGAUGGGGAGUUCAACCCCAUCGCUGUGAGCCCCACGCUGGGGAAGGGUCGUGGGGCGUCUCCAAGCCUUAAUGAGAGCAAAUGAGGUGCAGUUAUAGCGGUUGGGGCAGCCGAUCUUUGGAGAUCAUCCCUUCCAACCAAACCAUUGUAUGGUUCUGUAAUUCCUGCUGUAAGAAAUACCCCCAAAGGCAAAUAGCCCCUGAGGUGGAGCACCACGAGGACAAUGCUGCCAGCUCCCCAGGAAGGCCCUGGGGUUAAACCAAGGGAGUUUGGGGGUGGGAUGAGAGCUGUUAUGUUGGGAAAGCACUUAUGGCCGAGGGCACUCAGCUCUAAGCAUGGGGGAUGACACAGGGUCCCCCAUUUUCCUCCCCAGUGUCAGCAUUUCCAUGGGGAGAACCCCCCGGCAGCUCAGCCGUUGGUGCUUUUGGUGAUGUUUAAGGCCAUGCUGAGCUCUCCAUCUGCAGCCGACCCCUCCGGGUCACAGUGCUGAUAUCAGGAGGUGUCUUCCUGCAUGGGCAUGGGCACCUGGUGCCAACAUGCUGCAUUCACAGCCAUACAAACACCUCUAUCCUUCAUUUACCACAAAUAAAACACACCUAAGAAGAAGCAGAACUCAGCACGGUGUUGCUCACGGUGCACCCACUUCCUCUCCACAAUCAAAAUCUUCGCAGUCCUGCAGAAUUGUCCUUUGCAUCCCAUGGCAAAAGAGGCUUGAGAGGAGCCUCGUGCAGCUGUUCAGUGGGCAGCCCCAGUGCCAGCAGCAUUGCACCGGGGGCAAAGUGCAAACUGCAUCCACCCCAUCCCCAGCAAAGGGGCAUUGCUGCUGCUGGGCACCGACCACUCUGCGGUGCAGGGGAUGGCCACACCAUGGCCCUCUCCUCAUUGCUCCUGGAGGAGGAAGGGAGAUCUUCCUCCCCUGCUUUUAUUUCGCUGCAGCGGGAGCUACUUCUUGCAGUGCUCCCAGAGGAGUCUUAAAAACUCCCAAAUCUGACAGCUCAAACCGGCUUUCGCUCUGCUCAUUUCCAAGUGCUCACCAGCCCUGCUUUAUUUACACCGCUCAUUUGAGCCCACCGAUGCCCCGUCCCCCCACCCCCAGCCCCGGCUUUUCUCAUGCACGCGCACAGCACCGGGCUCUGCCGUGCUGCUGGGAAGGGGCAAAAUUAAUCCCUAUGGAAAUUUAUUGAAAUGAAUUCCCCUCUCGGACACUCAAGCUGUUCCCAGCCCGGCUUUUCCCAGGGCAGAGCAGCCGGGGAGGAGGGAACAGGACGGGGGCCCCGAUUCCCACCUGUGUGGGGCAGUGGGAUUGGGCUCUUCUCAUUCCCUCUGCAUUUAGGAUCUUCUGAGAGCCCCAUCCCAGCCCCAUUCCCUGCACCGAGCUCAGGUGGAGCAGCCUCACCCCAAAGGGCUGUCACAGGGCGGGGAGGGGGGCACAUAGGGAUCCCUGGGUGGCACGGGGGCAGAGCUGGCACUGCAUUGAAUCCCAAACCCAUAAGGGAGUGGGAGCAGUACCCCCAGAGUGGGGCUCUGCAGCAUCUGCAUCCCACAGACAAGGCUCCUUUGAGAUCAGGCACAGACGUGGCAUUGUCAGCGCCGGAAGAAAGGCUGGAGGUGGGACUGAGGGAACAGCCUGAGUUUGUGGAGAGCAUCCUUAUGGAUGGGAGGAUGAACCCUCACCCCAAAAGCGCCUUGGAGGCAGGGAUCGGUGAUCGGGGCUGAGUGAAGCAAUGGAACAGGCACUUGGUGUGGAUUUAUGCCAUGCAGCACUUGUCAGCACGGUUUAGCACCCCAUAAAGCAGCGCUGAAGGCCGAACGUGAAGGGAGAACACAAAGAUGAGCAAUUAAGGAGCGGAUUCAGGUCCCACCAAGGGAGGGAUGCAUCAGUGGGGAAAGAGUGUGGGAUGGAACCGGGAUGCUGAUGCUCUGCGUCCCUCCACAGGAACAGGGCUUUGCUGACGGCAUCCCACAGACACAGUGCUGGAUCUCCCUCGGGUGACCCAUGGGGAUGAGGACACAGCUGAGGACACCACUGUGCACCCCGGGGAAGGACUGUUUGCAGCACAGCCACCACAAGGCACAGCUCUCGGUGAUGUGAGAGGACGCCGUGUGGUUUGGAUGGCCAAGAAGGGCUGGAGGAGAGCCCAGGAAUUGCCUGAAAUGUGGGCAGGGUCCGGGCAGGUCCCCUCCCUGUCCCCAGGGUAUGGGCUCACUCCAUCCCAUCGCUGGACCACGGCUGGUCCUGGGGCACAGAGCUGCUACCACUGAGCCCAAGGCACCGGGGGACAAGGCCUGCAGCAAAAGGAGGUGAAAAGGAAAAACAGCAAGAAGUGUAUUAAAGGUGUUGAAAGCCUACGGCAGCGUCACAGCCUGAUCUCCCUUGUGUUGCUGAUGUUGGAGCAGAAUUUUCCCAUAUGCCACCCCAGACCUCCUUCCCCAGGGUCCCCAGCCCUGCAGGAGCUGUCCCGGCCCCUUUGGGAGCCAACAGCACUGCAGCCAUCCCUGCACAGCCGCUGUGCUGCGGGGCACAGCCAUGGGAUCAGCUCCUCACACCUCUCCCGUGUGCGCUCUCCCUCUCUUCUAUCUCAGCCCCAUGCUGGGAACCGGGCCCAGCUCUGCUUUGCCAAAGCCCGGUGGCAGCGGUGGCACUGGGGGGACUCACGCGGGGAGAGGAGGGGCACCAGCACCCACCGCCCCCACCCCUCCCCAACUCGUGCCGCCUCCCCCAGGACUCACUGCAGCUCCCAGCUCCCACCUGCGUGGGAUUUCAAGCUGCUGCCUUACAGCUGAGCCUGGAAACCCAUUCCCUUCAGCUCCAAAACCAGGAGCACCGGUGUCUGUGAGCCUGAGUUCUCACUCGCUGUUGGGAUGCCCAAGCUGCAGACCCAACCGUGGGUCUGGAGUGGGCUCCGAGCCCCCCUAAGACCCCACCAUCAGCUUUGACACUUCGGGAUGAGCACCAAAACGCAGCACUGGGCCGUCAUCUCCCGAAGCCGUCGCACCGCCACCGCACGCGCCCGCAGCAGCAUCCCACCGCCCAAAUAUUGAGCCAUACAUUCAGUCACCCCGCCGAGGGCCGGGGCAGCGCGGCAGAGGGAGCGUGGCAGUUUGUUAUGCUAACCGAGGGGGGCUCCGCUCGGGGACGUGUCGGAGAGGUCUGAAGAGCAAGGAGUUCACAGGCCCUCUCCCUUUGUCAUGCUAAAAGUGCAACACAGAAAAUAUAUACAGGCAGCUGCUCAAUGGAGCGUGAAAUACAAGUGAUUUCUCCGGGAGCUCUGGGUAAUGCAAUGCAGCCCAGACAAUGCCCGCCGCAGCCCCACCGCCUUUGUGCGAGAUGGAAAACUUCGGCGGGGGGAAACAGGACGGCAGCUCUGAACCUACAGCUGCCCCAGAGGGCAAAGUCCCUGAGAGGGUCCCCAGCACGCACCCCUGGGGAACCCAACACCCAUUGGGACCUCAACACCCAUAGGGUCCAUAACACCCCUACGGUCCCCAGCAUUCAUAGGGUCCCCAACGCUCACAGAGUCCCCACCACCCAUAGGGUCCUUAACACCCCUACGGUCCCCAAGACCCAUGGGGUUCUCUGCUGUGGGAUGGAUGGGCGCUCAGCUGCCACAUCCCUGGGAUCAGCUCUGGAAUGGGCACAGUGUGGCCCCGGCAGCACUGGGGACACGGCCGGGCCUGGCACGCUGUCCCCGAGCACGGGGUGGGGACCCCAUUAACGCGACGCCAACAUCCCAGCAGAGCCGAGCACCGCCCGUGGCAGCAGCUCCUAUUGCUGAUGCAAAUUGGGGCAUCCCGCAGGAGGAGGGAGCGGUGUAAAAUCAGUCCUCAAAGGAGCUUUUGUGUCUCCGGGGCUGAGGUGCUCAGAACAUCCAUCUUUCCCUCCUUUUUUUUUUUUUUUUUUUCUUUUUUUUUCCCCCUUUUUUUUUUGCGGCUGGAGCUGAAACCCGACACUGGGCCGGGCCGGGGGGGUUCCCGGGGCCCCGCAUUCGUUCCAGGCAGCGACACCCCCCGAUGCAUCCCCUG